rnacentral:rRNA from 1 species
AAGGAAUCUUCCACAAUGGGCGAAAGCCUGAUGGAGCAACGCCGCGUGCAGGAUGAAGGCCCUCGGGUCGUAAACUGCUUUUAUGAGUGAAGAAUAUGACGGUAACUCAUGAAUAAGCACCGGCUAACUACGUGCCAGCAGCCGCGGUCAUACGUAGGGUGCAAGCAUUAUCCGGAGUGACUGGGCGUAAAGAGUUGCGUAGGCGGUUAGUAAAGCGAAUAGUGAAACCUGGUGGCUCAACCAUACAGACUAUUAUUCGAACUCACUAACUCGAGAGUGGUAGAGGUAACUGGAAUUUCUUGUGUAGGAGUGAAAUCCGUAGAUAUAAGAAGGAACACCAAUGGCGUAGGCAGGUUACUGGACCAUUUCUGACGCUAAGGCACGAAAGCGUGGGGAGCGAACC